rnacentral:rRNA from 1 species
AUUGAACGCUGGCGGCAGGCCUAACACAUGCAAGUCGAACGGUAACAGGAAACAGCUUGCUGUUUCGCUGACGAGUGGCGGACGGGUGAGUAAUGUCUGGGAAACUGCCUGAUGGAGGGGGAUAACUACUGGAAACGGUAGCUAAUACCGCAUAACGUCGCAAGACCAAAGAGGGGGACCUUCGGGCCUCUUGCCAUCGGAUAUGCCCAGAUGGGAUUAGCUAGUAGGUGGGGUAACGGCUCACCUAGGCGACGAUCCCUAGCUGGUCUGAGAGGAUGACCAGCCACACUGGAACUGAGACACGGUCCAGACUCCUACGAGAGGCAGCAGUGGGGAAUAUUGCACAAUGGGCGCAAGCCUGAUGCAGCCAUGCCGCGUGUAUGAAGAAGGCCUUCGGGUUGUAAAGUACUUUCAGCGGGGAGGAAGGGAGUAAAGUUAAUACCUUUACUCAUUGACGUUACCCGCAGAAGAAGCACCGGCUAACUCCGUG